rnacentral:rRNA from 1 species
UACGGAGGAUGCAAGCGUUAUCCGGAAUGAUUGGGCGUAAAGCGUCCGCAGGUGGCAAUGUAAGUCUGCUGUCAAAGCGUCUGGCUCAACCAGAUAAAGGCAGUGGAAACUACAUAGCUAGAGUAAGGUAGGGGUAGAGGGAAUUCCUGGUGUAGCGGUGAAAUGCGUAGAGAUCAGGAAGAACACCGGUGGCGAAAGCGGUCGACUGGUCGAGUUCUGACACUGAGGCGCGACGGCGUGGGGAGCAAACCGG